UUCCAUAGUAUAAAUAACGAUCGGUAUCAGGUGUACAUGAUAACAGCCGGGACCGAUGGCUUAACAUGCUCUCCGAGGCACGGUGGAGAGACC